CCUACGGGAGGCAGCAGUGGGGAAUAUUGGGCAAUGGACGAGAGUCUGAACCAGCCAAGUCGCGUGAAGGAUGACUGCCCUAUGGGUUGUAAACUUCUUUUAUAUGGGAAUAAAAUGUUCCACGUGUGGGAUUUUGUAUGUACCAUAUGAAUAAGGAUCGGCUAACUCCGUGCCAGCAGCCGCGGUAAUACGGAGGAUCCGAGCGUUAUCCGGAUUUAUUGGGUUUAAAGGGAGCGUAGGUGGUUUGUUAAGUCAGUUGUGAAAGUUUGCGGCUCAACCGUAAAAUUGCAGUUGAAACUGGUAGUCGUGAGUACAGUUGAGGUAGGCGGAAUUCGUGGUGUAGCGGUGAAAUGCUUAGAUAUCACGAAGAACUCCGAUUGCGAACGCAGUUCACUGGACUGCAACUGACACUGAGGCUCGAAAGUGUGGGUAUCAAACAGGAUUAGAUACCCGGGUAGUC
rnacentral:rRNA from 1 species